UCCACAGUUCCCAUUCAGACGCCGGCCCGUCCGGAAUAUAUAUUCUCGUUUUUUGGGCAGUACGUCUGCGUGCUCGUCUCCGUCCGGUUCUUCUUCUUUGCCAGUUAUACGAGUGCAAGAGUAACUGUUGUUUGCGUGUUGCGUGCAAGAGAGCGGACAAAGCGAUUAUUUAAUUUACCCGCAUUCCGCCUUUUAGCGGGGGCCAUCGUGUGAACGAAUCCGAAAAUCGCAUAUCUGUGUAGAUCCGCAGAUGUUAUACAAUAUGCCGGAGUAAACCAUCUGACCCAUACAAAGGUCAAGCCGAUACGCGCUAAUCUGACUUCCGAUCCAAGUGCAAACUCCCCCAUCUCCCUCGUGUCGCCUCUUUCCCUGUUAUCAUCUUUCACUAACUAGUGGAACAGCAAAAACAUAUUAGAAAAGUACAAAAUACAAUUUACAAAAUGGGCUGCAUGCGCUAUUUGUCUGAGGCUCAUUUGAGGGGCUUCGAGCGCUACAAGUACAGCAGUAUAGACACGAGUUUCCUCAGUGUCUACGUGAUGCACCCGUUGUGGAACUACUUGGUGAAGUUUGUUCCCAAAUGGCUGGCGCCCAACGUUCUGACGUUCGUGGGGUUUCUAAUGACUGUCGUCAACUUUAUCCUGAUAGCUUACUACGACUGGAGUUUUGAUGCCGCAAAUUCGGAGAACGGCAACACUGUACCCGCUUGGGUGUGGACAGUGGCGGCCAUAAACAUACUCAUUUAUUAUAAUUUGGAUGGCAUGGAUGGCAAGCAGGCUCGAAGAACUGGAACGAGUGGACCUUUGGGAGAGCUAUUCGACCAUGGAUUGGAUUCCUAUUCAGCUGCACUGAUACCCAUUUAUUUGUUCUCCCUGUUCGGCUCACAAGAUUUGCCACCAAUUCGUAUGUUCUUCGUGAUCUGGAACGUAUUUCUGAACUUCUACUUAACGCAUGUGGAGAAGUACAACACUGGAGUUAUGUUCUUGCCCUGGGGCUAUGACUUUACCAUGUGGGGAGUAAGUGGAAUGCUAUUUCUGGCAACUGUCUUUGGACCUGGGAUAUAUCGCUUCAGCAUUUAUGGUUUUACAAUGGCCAACAUGUUUGAGUUUGUCCUUAUUGGUUCCGGCAUGGUCAGCAGUCAUCCGAUUAUCGCCAGAAAUAUCUACCUUUCCUAUAAAAACAAGACUGGAAAAAUGCGACCCAUGUGGGAGAUGCUGCGUCCAUUUUUCGCGUUCGUCUGGCUUUUUGUAAUCACUCUUAUCUGGUCGUUCUUCUCUCGAAACAAUGUGAUUAAUCUGGAGCCACGUAUCCUAUGGAUACUCUAUGGCACGAUAUUCUCAAACAUUGCAUGCCGGUUAAUAGUAGCCCAAAUGUCGGACAUGCGAUGUGAUGCCUUCAAUGUGCUCAUGUGGCCACUGGCCGCCACCGUAGGAGUUUGCUGUUUUCCCUAUUACGAGAAGGUCUUUGACACAGAUCUCACGCCGGAUAUCGAACGAUGGAUAGUCCAGGGUCUCACCAUUUUCUCAACAUUAGCCCACUGGCACUACGGCUACGGCGUGGUAUCGGAGAUGUGCGACCACUUCCAGAUUCGCUGCUUCAAAGUAAGAACAUCUAGCAGCCAAUCGGGCUCAGAUUCAACUCAAAAACUUCUACAGAACAAUAACAAAACGUUGAAAAGCCAUUGAAAUCGCCCACUAACCAAAAUCACAUCAAAAACGGGGACAACCAAUAUCAACCAUCUUGUGAUAUAAAGUAUAUAUAUAUAUAUAUAAACGGGUUCCAAAACAUUUAGCCCUGCCUAAUGUCUAGGUUCUAAGUGGUCCAUACUCAAAUCAAAAAACUAAACCGAUACUCGCCCCACGCGGUUUCUAAUGUGAUCACUAAACCGCCUGUCGCCGCUGAGGACGAAUUGAAGGAGGUUGUGGAAGAUCCCAAGCCCUCGGAAAACGUCGAAGAAGUCUAGCACUGGCCUGUUCUUCUGCAAUUGUGUUGUGUUUAAACCUUAAAUCGUUACCUAGGUACAGUUAAGACAAAUCGAAAGUGUUUAGGCUUAAGUUCGAAAUUGAAACGAGAAUAUAAUUGUUAGUGCUAAAGAAAGUUCACUGAAUUAAUAUUUGAUCAUUUUAAGAUCAAGACCUCUUAAUAAUUUCAAUAAAAGCUAUCUCUUGCAGUACUGCUAA